rnacentral:rRNA from 1 species
UACGUAGGGUGCAAGCGUUGUCCGGAAUUAUUGGGAGUAAAGGGCUCGUAGGCGGUUUGUCGCGUCGGGAGUGAAAACUCAGGGCUUAACCCUGAGCCUGCUUCCGAUACGGGCAGACUAGAGGUAUGCAGGGGAGAAUGGAAUUCCUGGUGUAGCGGUGAAAUGCGCAGAUAUCAGGAGGAACACCGGUGGCGAAGGCGGUUCUCUGGGCAUUACCUGACGCUGAGGUGCGAAAGCGUGGGGAGCAAACAGG